GUGAAGUCGCGUGACUCCCGGACGUGUAUGGAUGAGUCCCUAGCUAGUUAUCUAGCUAACGCCCAUACAUUACAGGCAGAAGGUGAAGCACACCACUGCACAUAUGUUUUCUUACAUUAAACAAGCCUUUGGGAUCUACAGAGAUGACUCCCAGUCCUCAGCUGACACAACAAGUGCAGUACAGCACACAGACUCGGGGACGGAAGUAAAAACGUCCCCUGAGGUGGAAACAUCUCCAGAGGUGAAAACGUCUCCAGAGGUGAAAACAUAUUCUGUGGUGGAAACAUCUCUAGAGGUGAAAACGUCUCCUGAAGUUAAAACAUAUUCUGUGG